AUAACUGACUUGUGGCAGCCAAGUAUUCAUAGCGAUGCUGCUCUUCCAUCCUUCGAUGUUGGCUCUUCUUAUCAUUGUGAAGCACAAUUCAUCAACGGUCAGAUCGUUCACCCUAAUAGAGAAUGUGAGCUGGAAUUUCACUGUGGAAAGACAGGUU
rnacentral:ncRNA from 1 species